rnacentral:rRNA from 1 species
AGAGUGAACGCUGGCGAUAGGCCUAACACAUGCAAGUCGAACGGCAGCACAGUGGUAGCAAUACCAUGGGUGGCGAGUGGCGGACGGGUGAGGAAUACAUCGGAAUCUACCUUUUCGUGGGGGAUAACGUAGGGAAACUUACGCUAAUACCGCAUACGCCCGUUCGGGGGAAAGCCGGGGAUCGCAAGACCUGGCGCGGAUAGAUGAGCCGAUGUCGGAUUAGCUAGUUGGUGAGGUAAUGGCUCACCAAGGCGACGAUCCGUAGCUGGUCUGAGAGGAUGAUCAGCCACACUGGAACCUGGAGACACGGGUCCAGACU